ACACUUUAAACGGGGAAAUGCAUAGCCAUCACUCGUUGCGAGCGUACUAUGAGACGCCAUGUGAUUUGAAUUCUCGACCUCCAACUCACGACUUGUCUCUUUUUCCGCCGCUAGAGGGGAAGAAUCAGCACCAAAGCUCUCGCACAUUGCUUCGACAACUUUUUUGCUCUCGAUAUGUAUGAUCUUUAACAGAUAAUACACAAGGAGGACCACUACGACCACCAUCACCUCGCUGACGAAGUCGCAAGUGGCAGAAGACGCAUUGUAAAUGACGAAAUCCAAGUCAGCAUACAUCAACACAUCUCCGAAAGCGUUGUACGUUAGGUACGAGAGAGAGCAGGACGUAACGGCGAUGUAGAUGAGUAAGAAAUAGUCUCUCUUGGUCACAACUGGCCCCCAGAUCCUGACUCCGUAUCCUACCAAACGGCGAAGAAUUCCCGCCAACCUGUAGCUUCGGAGGACGACGUACGGGAAGAAGACUGAAAGCACGCUGUACGUUCCGUAGCUGAAUACCAGAGAGCGAGGAGGAAUGGAUGUCAGUGUCUGAAGAGUUUGAUCGGAAAUGGGACUUUCCUCACUGCCUCGGAGCUAUUGAUGGAAAACAUGUUAAAAUUACAAAGCCAUAUAACUCUGGUUCUUACUACUAUAAUUAUAAAGGUACUUUUAGUGUAGUUUUAAUGGCUAUAGUUAAUGCCAAAUGUCAGUUCCUUAUGGUACAUAUAGGAACAAAAGGAAGAGUCUCAGAUGGGGGUGUUUAUGGAAACACAAGAUUUAGUCAGGACUUAACAGAGGAUAAACUACACAUUCCUGCACCAAGCCCUCUACCAGGAACAACUGAUCCUGUUCCUUAUGUUUUAAUAGGGGAUGAUGCGUUCCCUCUGUUGGAGAAUAUCAUGAAGCCAUAUAGUCAUGCCAAUCUUACUAAAGAACAACAGAUAUACAAUUAUAGGGUGUCACGAGCCAGAAAUGUAGUGGAAAGGACCUUUGGCAUGUUGUCAUCUAGGUUUCGUAUUUUACACUCGACAAUCAAUCUAUCCCCAACUAAAGUGUCCAAAAUAAUCCUUGCAUGUUGCUACUUGCAUAAUUAUAUGAGUGGAGAUGGAGAACAAUAUGUAGAAAGUAUCAGUAGAAGGCAGCUCAUUCCUUUUGAACCAACUGUUCAACAGUCUUCAUUGUCAGCCAAGGAUGUACGCAAUAAGUAUUGUCAGUAUUUCAAUGGCCCAGGAUGGAUGCCCUAGCAAGUAUGUAGGAUCACAUGGAAGUUAUAGCUGAACUAGAAUUUAUAUAGCUUGAUUACAUAUUGUUUAGGGUAGCUGUGCAUUAUGUUCUCGUACAUGGUACUCUUGUGCUUUACAAAUCUAGCAAAUUAGCUAAACAUAGGUAAUUAUUUGUGCAUUGUUGUAGACAUACUGACAGUACAUAUAUAAUACAUUCACGAACUCUAAUACACUGGAAGCUACAUUAAUAAUUAUGUAGACCGCAACCAUGAUUUAUUUAUUUUCAUUAUUUGAUGUACUAUCAUUAAGAUAUGUGAUUCUCUACACU